UGAGUACGAGAUGCUACGGCAUCGAAGCAGUCUAUGUCAUACUUCCAAGAAAAGCUUGCAAUGUCAUAAACAAAUAAUGCCUGUACCAUAACCGACACAGGUGGGUAGGUAGAGUAUACUAAGGGGCGCGAGAUAACUCUCUCUAAGGAACUCGGCAAAAUGACUCUGUAACUUCGGGAGAAGGAGUGCCUUAUUUUUAUAAGGUUGCAAUAACAAGAUCCAAGCAACUGUUUACCAAAAACACAGGUCUCCGCUAAGUCGUAAGACGAUGUAUGGGGGCUGACGCCUGCCCAGUGCCAGAAGGUUAAAGAAGUUGGUUAGCAUUAGCGAAGCUGAUAACUGAAGCCCUGGUGAACGGCGGCCGUAACGAUAACGGUCCUAAGGUAGCGAAAUUCCUUGUCGGGUAAGUUCCGACCCGCACGAAAGGCGUAAUGAUUUGGAUACUGUCUCGGAGAGGGGCUCGGUGAAAUAGACUUGUCUGUGAAGAUGCGGACUACCUGCACCUGGACAGAAAGACCCUAUGAAGCUUUACUGUAACUUGAGAUUGAAAUUGGACUUUAUCUGCGCAGUAUAGGUGGGAGACGUUGAAAAUAUUCUUGCGGGAAUAUUGGAGUCAUCAGUGAGAUACCACUCUUAUAAUGUUAGAUUUCUAACUUUGUAUCAUUAUCUGGUCAAAGAACAGUUUCAGGCGGGCAGUUUGACUGGGGCGGUCGCCUCCCAAACGGUAACGGAGGCGCACAAAGGUUUCCUCUGAACGUGUAGAAAUCGUAUCUAGAGUGUAAAGGCAUAAGGAAGCUUGACUGUGAGACCUACAAGUCGAGCAGGGACGAAAGUCGGUCUUAGUGAUCUGACGGUGCUGAGUGGAAAGGCCGUCACUCAACGGAUAAAAGUUACUCUAAGGAUAACAGGCUGAUCUCCCCCAAGAGUUCACAUCGACGGGGAGGUUUGGCACCUCGAUGUCGGCUCAUCGCAUCCUGGGGCGGUAGUACGUCCCAAGGGUUGGGCUGUUCGCCCAUGAAAGCGGUACGCGAGCUGGGUUCAGAACGUCGUGAGACAGUUCGGUCCAUAUCCGGUGUAGGCGUUAGAAUAUUGAGAGGAGCCUUCUUUAGUACGAGAGGACCGAGAAGGACAUACCUCUGGUGUACCAGUUAUCGUGCCAACGGUAAACGCUGGGUAGCCAUGUAUGGAGAGGAUAACCGCUGAAAGCAUCUAAGUGGGAAGCCCACCUCAAGAUAAGUAUUC
rnacentral:rRNA from 1 species